GAUCAUGGCUCAGGAUGAACGCUAGCUACAGGCUUAACACAUGCAAGUCGAGGGGCAGCAUGGUCUUAGCUUGCUAAGGCCGAUGGCGACCGGCGCACGGGUGAGUAACACGUAUCCAACCUGCCGUCUACUCUUGGGCAGCCUUCUGAAAGGAAGAUUAAUACAAGAUGGCAUCAUGGGUCCGCAUGUUCACAUGAUUAAGGGUAUUCCGGUAGACGAUGGGGA
rnacentral:rRNA from 1 species